rnacentral:rRNA from 1 species
GACGAACCGUACGAACGUUAUUCGGAAUCACUGGGCUUAAAGGGUGCGUAGGCGGCGCAGUAAGUUGGGUGUGAAAUCCCUCGGCUUAACCGAGGAAUUGCGCCCAAAACUACUGUGCUCGAGGGAGGUAGAGGUGAGCGGAACUUAGGGUGGAGCGGUGAAAUGCGUUGAUAUCCUAAGGAACACCGGUGGCGAAAGCGGCUCACUGGACCUCUCCUGACGCUGAGGCACGAAAGCUAGGGUAGCAAACGGG